AGAGUUUGAUCCUGGCUCAGAUUGAACGCUGGCGGAAUGCUUUACACAUGCAAGUCGAGCGGGGGUAGCAAUACCCUAGCGGCGGUCGGGUGAGGAAAGCAUCGGAAUGUACCCAGUGAUGGGGGAUAACACAGCGAAAGUUGUGCUAAUACCGCAUACGCCCUGAGGGGGAAAGUGGGGGACCGCAAGGCCUCACGUCAUUGGAGCAGCCGAUGCCCGAUUAGCUAGUUGGUGAGGUAAAGGCUCACCAAGGCGACGAUCGGUAGCUGGUCUGAGAGGAUGAUCAGCCACACUGGAACUGAGACACGGUCCAGACUCCUACGGAAGGCAGCAGUGGGGAAUAUUGGACAAUGGGGGCAACCCUGAUCCAGCCAUGCCGCGUGAGUGAAGAAGGCCUUCGGGUUGUAAAGCUCUUUAAGCGGGGAGGAAGGUUGUACGGUUAAUAGUCGUGCAAAUUGACGUUACCUGCAGAAUAAGCACCGGCUAACUCUGUGCCAGCAGCCGCGGUAAUACAGAGGGUGCAAGCGUUAAUCGGAAUUACUGGGCGUAAAGCGUGCGUAGGUGGUCUUUUAAGUUGGAUGUGAAAUCCCCGGGCUUAACCUGGGAACUGCAUUCAAGACUGGGAGACUUGAGUCUGGGAGAGGGUGGUGGAAUUUCAGGUGUAGCGGUGAAAUGCGUAGAUAUCUGAAGGAACAUCAGUGGCGAAGGCGACCGCCUGGCCUAAGACUGACACUGAGGCACGAAAGCGUGGGGAGCAAACAGGAUUAGAUACCCUGGUAGUCC
rnacentral:rRNA from 1 species